ensembl:lncRNA uncharacterized LOC114842878
AUGACUGACUGUAACUUUUCUUAUAGAUUUGGGUGCAACAUGAGCCAGAUGAAAAAUAAGAUUUUAAAUGUUCUCAAUAAGCAUUCAAAAGAAACACUAAAUAGCUGUUCCUCAGUGAACAGCUUGGCUGCAGACUGCAAAUGUUGUAAACAUCACAAUAAUACCCACAAACCGCACAAAAUGAAACGAUGGAGGAGCCGCAAGGAGAGGACUCAGAUGAGGGCUGGUGGAAGAGAGGCCCCAAAAGCUAAAUCGCAUCACCAUCACCAAAACAUCAAGAACUUUUCACAUUUUCACAACUGUUGUCACAGUAGCUGUUAUUGCACUCCAAGGAAAGGGGAGCCAUAUCCAAACAGAAUUCCUGCACCACAGGAGCCUAGCAUCAUCACAGACAACCGCCUCAUCGGCCACCAUGGGCUGUUCAACCAUGAGGUGAAGUCUGUUGACAUCGAACGCUUGUUAAGUGAGCAGAAGAAACGAGAGAAAAGUAAACAGCAAGUGCCCGAAAAGAGCUGUAUUCUAUCACGUCAAUCUUCAGCAUCUCACAAUCUAUCUCCAUUCUCCAGUAGGGAUUGGUCAGGUAGAGAUACUAAUGAGGCUGUGCAGUGUGCAAGGAUGGCAGACCCUGCUGCAAAUGCCCCAGAGUGCAGGGAAAAAGAGAAGACUCUCAGCCAAGAGUCAGAUAUUACACCAGGCCAGCGACUGCAAAAACCUGAUCCAUCAUCUGGAAGCUAUAAAAGCAUUUUGUCAUCUAACCACAGCUCCCUUGAUGUAGUUGCAUUCAAGAACAAGAAGUACAAUUCUGUGAUGUCUGACAGGUGCACGGAGUCCCCGUUGUCUCCCACCGGUGACAGAGACCAUGUCAAGAAGUUAAAAAAGAAGUUAAAGACACACUUGAUUUCUACUCCUGAUCACACUCCAAAAGAAGAGAAGCCUCCUGUCCUGCCGACACAAGCCCCUGGUCUGCGCCCAAGCCCACUUCAGUGUUCCAGCUCACCCACUACUCAGAGCUUCAACAUAACACACAUAAGUCAGGAUUUCCGCUGUGUAUCAAAGUCCGUCAGUGAAGUUGCAGCGCGUUUGUGCGACUUUCUGCACUUCCCCGUUCUGAGAAAGGGAAACCUAGUGGCAGAAAGCAGGGAGGAGGUGUUGAGAGCACUGCGGGAGAAGCAUGGAGCACACCUUCGGGAGAACCUUCUCAAGGUGAAGCGUUCCCUCGGGGGUGGUGCUGAUCUCACAAGGGCUAUGGCAGAUGAAGAUGCGCUCUUCCCUUCAGAUGCCCCUGAACACCAAUCUGACAAUGCCGUUCAGUUUUGUUUUGAUAUCCAAAGAACCCACAGAAAGACUCCUGAAUGGUUGACAGAGCCCAUGGAUACUUCUACCAGUCUUCUGGACGGUGUCCUCAGACCUAGUUUCUCUCCCACACUCUACAUGAACUGUGAGCCCCCUGAGGUCUCAGCAAAUAAUCAUUCGUUCUCUAAUUCUGCCGACUCAUGUUGGGCAGAGUUCUCAUCAUCUCAACACUGGGGGGAAAGUUUCAGCAGGUCGACGAGCAAAGAGUCAUUUUUGUGUGAUUCUUUUGAAAAUAGCUACUUGAACCACAGCAGUGCAUCUACAGGGAGCUUCAGGCCACAGUAUGGUGGCAACAACAUUCAGCCCUUCUUUACUCACACAGCCCAGCUGACAGACCGACGUGCAGCAGAGCCAGGGCCCUUUUUAACUGACAGGUACUCAAAUUAUCAGUCUUUUUGCGCCCAAAAUCGCCAUCCCACCCAGAGCAACAACUUUCAUACAUUCAGCCAAUUCACCCAGCCCUCAAGUUGCCCAUCACUUAGGCCCCACUACACUGACAUGAUACAUUAUCCCCCAUCUCACAUGCUUGAAAUAGAGGCAGCACCUCCCUUGUCCUCUUUACCGAGCCCUGAACCCUGGUCCUUCCCUCCAAUGAGACUGUACUGAUGUUUGGUGAAUGUCACUAAUAAAUGUAGUAGCACAAGUGUUACCUCUUCUAUU